rnacentral:rRNA from 1 species
CCUACGGGAGGCAGCAGUGGGGAAUAUUGCACAAUGGGGGAAACCCUGAUGCAGCGACGCCGCGUGAGUGAAGAAGUAUUUCGGUAUGUAAAGCUCUAUCAGCAGGGAAGAAGAAAGACGGUACCUGACUAAGAAGCCUCAGCCAACUACGUGCCAGUAGCCGCGGUAAUACGUAGGGGGCAAGCGUUAUCCGGAUUUACUGGGUGUAAAGGGAGCGUAGACGGCUGUGCAAGUCUGAAGUGAAAGCCCAGGGCUCAACCCUGGGACUGCUUUGGAAACUGGGAGGCUAGAGUGCUGGAGAGGUAAGUGGAAUUCCUGGUGUAGCGGUGAAAUGCGUAGAUAUUAGGAGGAACACCAGUGGCGAAGGCAGCUUGCUGGACAGUAACUGACGUUGAGGCUCGAAAGCGUGGGGAGCGAACAGGAUUAGAUACCCCAGUAGUC